rnacentral:rRNA from 1 species
GACAGAGGUGCCGAGCGUUAGGCGGAAUCACUGGGCUUAAAGCGUGUGUAGGCGGACUUGUAAGUACCUUGUGAAAUCCCAUGGCUCAACCAUGGAACUGCUUGGUAUACUGCUUGUCUUGAGCCACUUAGGGGCAGUCGGAACAGACGGUGGAGCGGUGAAAUGCGUAGAUAUCGGGAGGAAUACCAGUGGCGAAGGCGGCCUUCUGGACGGAUACUGACGCUGAGGCGCGAAAGCCAGGGGAGCAAACGGG